rnacentral:rRNA from 1 species
UACGUAGGGGGCGAGCGUUGUCCGGAUUUACUGGGCGUAAAGGGUGAGUAGGCGGUUAUAUGUGUCAGAUGUAAAAGGCGUGGGCUUAACCUACGUUAGCAUUUGAAACUGUAUGACUUGAGUGCAGGAGAGGUAAGUGGAAUUCCUAGUGUAGCGGUGAAAUGCGUAGAUAUUAGGAGGAACACCAGUGGCGAAGGCGACUUACUGGACUGUAACUGACGCUGAGUCACGAAAGCGUGGGUAGCAAACAGG